rnacentral:rRNA from 1 species
AUUGAACGCUGGCGGCAGGCCUAACACAUGCAAGUCGAGCGGGGUUUUCGGACCUAGCGGCGGAUGGGUGAGUAAUGCGUAGGAAGCUACCCGAUAGAGGGGGAUACCAGUUGGAAACGACUGUUAAUACCGCAUAAUGUCUACGGACCAAAGUGUGGGACCUUCGGGCCACAUGCUAUCGGAUGCGCCUACGUGGGAUUAGCUAGUUGGUGAGGUAAUGGCUCACCAAGGCGACGAUCCCUAGCUGGUUUGAGAGGAUGAUCAGCCACACUGGAACUGAGACACGGUCCAGACUCCUACGGGAGGCAGCAGUGGGGAAUAUUGGACAAUGGGCGCAAGCCUGAUCCAGCCAUGCCGCGUGUGUGAAGAAGGCCUUCGGGUUGUAAAGCACUUUCAGUAGGGAGGAAGGGUUAAGUGUAAAUAGUACUUAACUUUGACGUUACCUACAGAAGAAGCACCGGCUAACUCUGUGCCAGCAGCCGCCGUAACAC